CUAUACUACUAUAGGGAUGGUUCCCAUAUAUUAUGGGAACCAAUCCCAUAAUAGUAUGAGAAUAGUUCCCAUACUAUUAUGGGAAUGGUUCCCAUAUUGGUAUAGGAACUAUUCCUAUAAUAUUAUGGGAACUAUU